CAUGCCGCGUGUGUGAAAAGGCCUUCGGGUUGUAAAGCACUUUUGUCCGGAAAGAAAGCUUCUGGGUUAAUACCCCGGGAGGAUGACGGUACCGGAAGAAUAAGCACCGGCUAACUACGUGCCAGCAGCCGCGGUAAUACGUAGGGUGCGAGCGUUAAUCGGAAUUACUGGGCGUAAAGCGUGCGCAGGCGGUGCUGUAAGACCGAUGUGAAAUCCCCGGGCUUAACCUGGGAACUGCAUUGGUGACUGCAGCGCUGGAGUAUGGCAGAGGGGGGUGGAAUUCCACGUGUAGCAGUGAAAUGCGUAGAGAUGUGGAGGAACACCGAUGGCGAAGGCAGCCCCCUGGGCCAAUACUGACGCUCAUGCACGAAAGCGUGGGGAGCAAACA
rnacentral:rRNA from 1 species